UGAACGCUAGCUACAGGCUUAACACAUGCAAGUCGAGGGGCAUCAGGAAGAAAGCUUGCUUUCUUUGCUGGCGACCGGCGCACGGGUGAGUAACACGUAUCCAACCUGCCCUUUACUCGGGGAUAGCCUUUCGAAAGAAAGAUUAAUACCCGAUAGCAUAAUGAUUCCGCAUGGUUUCAUUAUUAAAGGAUUCCGGUAAAGGAUGGGGAUGCGUUCCAUUAGGUUGUUGGUGAGGUAACGGCUCACCAAGCCUUCGAUGGAUAGGGGUUCUGAGAGGAAGGUCCCCCACAUUGGAACUGAGACACGGUCCAAACUCCUACGGGAGGCAGCAGUGAGGAAUAUUGGUCAAUGGGCGCUAGCCUGAACCAGCCAAGUAGCGUGAAGGAUGAAGGCUCUAUGGGUCGUAAACUUCUUUUAUAUAAGAAUAAAGUGCAGUAUGUAUACUGUUUUGUAUGUAUUAUAUGAAUAAGGAUCGGCUAACUCCGUGCCAGCAGCCGCGGUAAUACGGAGGAUCCGAGCGUUAUCCGGAUUUAUUGGGUUUAAAGGGAGCGUAGGUGGACUGGUAAGUCAGUUGUGAAAGUUUGCGGCUCAACCGUAAAAUUGCAGUUGAUACUGUCAGUCUUGAGUACAGUAGAGGUGGGCGGAAUUCGUGGUGUAGCGGUGAAAUGCUUAGAUAUCACGAAGAACUCCGAUUGCGAAGGCAGCUCACUGGACUGCAACUGACACUGAUGCUCGAAAGUGUGGGUAUCAAACAGGAUUAGAUACCCUGGUAGUCCACACAGUAAACGAUGAAUACUCGCUGUUUGCGAUAUACAGUAAGCGGCCAAGCGAAAGCAUUAAGUAUUCCACCUGGGGAGUACGCCGGCAACGGUGAAACUCAAAGGAAUUGACGGGGGCCCGCACAAGCGGAGGAACAUGUGGUUUAAUUCGAUGAUACGCGAGGAACCUUACCCGGGCUUAAAUUGCAGUGGAAUGAUGUGGAAACAUGUCAGUGAGCAAUCACCGCUGUGAAGGUGCUGCAUGGUUGUCGUCAGCUCGUGCCGUGAGGUGUCGGCUUAAGUGCCAUAACGAGCGCAACCCUUAUCUUCAGUUACUAACAGGUCAUGCUGAGGACUCUGGAGAGACUGCCGUCGUAAGAUGUGAGGAAGGUGGGGAUGACGUCAAAUCAGCACGGCCCUUACGUCCGGGGCUACACACGUGUUACAAUGGGGGGUACAGAAGGCAGCUAGCGGGUGACCGUAUGCUAAUCCCAAAAUCCUCUCUCAGUUCGGAUCGAAGUCUGCAACCCGACUUCGUGAAGCUGGAUUCGCUAGUAAUCGCGCAUCAGCCACGGCGCGGUGAAUACGUUCCCGGGCCUUGUACACACCGCCCGUCAAGCCAUGGGAGCCGGGGGUACCUGAAGUACGUAACCGCAAGGAUCGUCCUAGGGUAAAACUGGUGACUGGGGCUAAGUC
rnacentral:rRNA from 1 species